GGGUUUGGCUUUGGUAGCACAUAUACUAAAACUGGAAUGAACAAGAAAAGAUCAGCAUGGCCCCUGAGCAAAGCUGACAAAUUCGUGAAGUGUUUGUUU
ensembl:snRNA U6 U6 spliceosomal RNA